GAUGAACGCUGGCGGCGUGCCUAAUACAUGCAAGUCGAGCGAACAGAUGAGGAGCUUGCUCCUCUGACGUUAGCGGCGGACGGGUGAGUAACACGUGGAUAACCUACCUAUAAGACUGGGAUAACUUCGGGAAACCGGAGCUAAUACCGGAUAAUAUAUUGAACCGCAUGGUUCAAUAGUGAAAGACGGUUAUGCUGUCACUUAUAGAUGGAUCCGCGCCGCAUUAGCUAGUUGGUAAGGUAACGGCUUACCAAGGCGACGAUGCGUAGCCGACCUGAGAGGGUGAUCGGCCACACUGGAACUGAGACACGGUCCAGACUCCUACGGGAGGCAGCAGUAGGGAAUCUUCCGCAAUGGGCGAAAGCCUGACGGAGCAACGCCGCGUGAGUGAUGAAGGUCUUCGGAUCGUAAAACUCUGUUAUUAGGGAAGAACAAAUGUGUAAGUAACUAUGCACGUCUUGACGGUACCUAAUCAGAAAGCCACGGCUAACUACGUG
rnacentral:rRNA from 1 species